rnacentral:rRNA from 1 species
CCUACGGGAGGCAGCAGUAGGGAAUAUUGCUCAAUGGGGGAAACCCUGAAGCAGCAACGCCGCGUGGAGGAUGAAGGUUUUCGGAUUGUAAACUCCUUUUGUUAGAGAAGAUAAUGACGGUAUCUAACGAAUAAGCACCGGCUAACUCCGUGCCAGCAGCCGCGGUCAUACGGAGGGUGCAAGCGUUACUCGGAAUCACUGGGCGUAAAGAGCGCGUAGGCGGGAUAGCAAGUCAGAUGUGAAAUCCUAUGGCUUAACCAUAGAACUGCAUUUGAAAAUGUUAGUCUAGAGUAUGGGAGAGGUAGGUGGAAUUCUUGGUGGAGGGGUAAAAUCCGUAGAGAUCAAGAGGAAUACUCAUUGCGAAGGCGACCUGCUAGAACAUAACUGACGCUGAUGCGCGAAAGCGUGGGGAGCAAACAGGAUUAGAUACCCGUGUAGUC